rnacentral:rRNA from 1 species
AAACAACUCUCAGCAACGGAUAUCUUGGCUCUUGCGGGAACGAGAAGAACGCAGGAAAUCGAAAUUUAAUUGAAUUGCAGAAUUCCGUGAAUCAUCGAGUCUUUGAACGCAAGUUGCGCCCGAGGCUUGUCCGAGGGCAUUUCCGCUAGAGCGUCACC